GCCGACGUAGCUCAGCUGGUAGAGCAGCGCAUUCGUAAUGCGCAGGUCAGGAGUUCGAGUCUCCUCGUCGGCU
rnacentral:tRNA from 1 species